rnacentral:rRNA from 1 species
CCUACGGGAGGCUGCAGUGGGGAAUAUUGGACAAUGGGCGAAAGCCUGAUCCAGCCAUGCCGCGUGUGUGAAGAAGGCCUUCGGGUUGUAAAGCACUUUCAGUGGGGAAGAAAGCCUUGGGGCUAAUACCCUCGAGGAAGGACAUCACCCACAGAAGAAGCACCGGCUAACUCCGUGCCAGCAGCCGCGGUAAUACGGAGGGUGCGAGCGUUAAUCGGAAUUACUGGGCGUAAAGCGCGCGUAGGCGGUCUGAUAAGCCGGUUGUGAAAGCCCCGGGCUCAACCUGGGAACGGCAUCCGGAACUGUCAGGCUUGAGUGCAGGAGAGGAAGGUAGAAUUCCCGGUGUAGCGGUGAAAUGCGUAGAGAUCGGGAGGAAUACCAGUGGCGAAGGCGGUCUUCUGGACUGACACUGACGCUGAGGUGCGAAAGCGUGGGUAGCAAACAGGAUUAGAUACCCUAGUAGUC